rnacentral:rRNA from 1 species
GGUAGUCCACGCCGUAAACGAUGUCGACUUGGAGGUUGUGCCCUUGAGGCGUGGCUUCCGGAGCUAACGCGUUAAGUCGACCGCCUGGGGAGUACGGCCGCAAGGUUAAAACUCAAAUGAAUUGACGGGGGCCCGCACAAGCGGUGGAGCAUGUGGUUUAAUUCGAUGCAACGCGAAGAACCUUACCUGGUCUUGACAUCCAGAGAAUCCUGCAGAGAUGCGGGAGUGCCUUCGGGAACUCUGAGACAGGUGCUGCAUGGCUGUCGUCAGCUCGUGUUGUGAAAUGUUGGGUUAAGUCCCGCAACGAGCGCAACCCUUAUCCUUUGUUGCCAGCGGUUCGGCCGGGAACUCAAAGGAGACUGCCGGUGAUAAACCGGAGGAAGGUGGGGAUGACGUCAAGUCAUCAUGGCCCUUACGACCAGGGCUACACACGUGCUACAAUGGCGCAUACAAAGAGAAGCGACCUCGCGAGAGCAAGCGGACCUCAUAAAGUGCGUCGUAGUCCGGAUUGGAGUCUGCAACUCGACUCCAUGAAGUCGGAAUCGCUAGUAAUCGUGGAUCAGAAUGCCACGGUGAAUACGUUCCCGGGCCUUGUACACACCGCCCGUCACACCAUGGGAGUGGGUUGCAAAAGAAGUAGGUAGCUUAACCUUCGGGAGGGCGCUUACCACUUUGUGAUUCAUGACUGGGGUGAAGUCGUAACAAGGUAACC